rnacentral:rRNA from 1 species
CCUGGCGGCAAGCCUCAUACAUGCCAGUCGAACGAGAAAGCAUCUUCGGAUGUGAGUAAAGUGGCGGACGGGUGAGUAAUACAUAGGAAUCUACCCAAUGGCGGGGGACAGCUCGAGGAAACUCGAAUUAAUACCGCAUGAUCUCUACGGAGUAAAGAGGGCUUCGGCUCUCACCAUCGGAUGAGCCUAUGCAAGAUUAGCUUGUUGGUAAGGUAAUGGCUUACCAAGGCUACGAUCUUUAGCUGGUUUGAGAGGAUGACCAGCCACAUC